CUAAUAAAUGCUAAGGAUUUCAUCACAUCUUAAAACGUGUAUUGGGUGUUUUUAGAAGAAAAUUGAUGAUAUUGUUUGUCUCUAUCUGUACAUAACACGUGCCAAACCGACUAAUGGAAACUUUUGGUUUCUAUAUAUUUAAUUUCACCCUAAUUUGUUUAUUUCAUAUUAAAUUUUAUGGAAAUGCCAGCCUCAAUUGUGCUUUUCUUAGCUAUCUAUUCAAACGUACUAUAACGGCUGAUAUUGUGCCAGAAACGUGAAGCGUUCCUGCACUCAACAUAAGGACUCGUCGGGUCUCAAACAAGAUUCAUACAGGAAAUUUAACCUUCUUCAACUCUAAGUUAUUAGUUUUCUCAUCCUGAGCUAAUCUUAUGUGCUUCUCUGUAUGAUGAUAAAGUCAUGAUUGUUUGAGCUCUAUGUAGAUCCAAGUUCUAUGAGGUAAAUAUUGUUGAAUUCUGCACAUAGAUAUCCAUUCACCUAGAGUUUCCGCAUUUUUGAUUUCCUUAUUACUAAGUUUCAAUUUGUUUUCUCUAAAACAGGAAUGGUAAAUGGAGUAUUACAUGGUAAACCAUCAGUAAUAGUCCUUAAGGAGAAUUCAUGCAUGCCAUCACAUGCCCCUUUAUGCAUCGAAGAAAUUUUAGAAAUGGCGGUACCUAAUAUCAGAAGAGUGCAGAACAAAAUUGUAUACCCAAUACCCAAUAACCCUAAUUACAAAAUUACUAGAUGGGUUUUGCAUCCUGUAGGCCAUUGGGUAAUAUCAAUUUUAAGUCAAGGGCAAGCGAUGCGAUAUUCCACAUCAAAUGGGGAACACCAAGGAUACAUGAUGCUUAUUGAAUUUGCUGUUCAACUUGUUCCACAAGGGGGAGCUGUGCGAACUUGCAUCUUAUCUAAAAAGUGGAGAUACAAAUGGGUUACUCUUCCUAUACUUGUAUUCAAAUCUUACCUCAGCUAUGAAGAGUAUUUUCUCCUGACUCACAAUAAUCUCUCUCUCUCCACUUCAAAAGCUCCAUAAGCAGGAAACCAUGCACUAGUUAGGGAGGAUUUGGGCCCUAUCUCUUUGGGAAAGUGGUGUUCUGUUCAGCAUCAACGAUCGCGUAUCUGAUGAACGGUGAGGAGGAAGAAGAAGCGUCCCAGAACCACCAACAUUAAUGACAAUAUUGAUCAAGGCCCAUGGAACUCCAAAACCAGCCAGAUUUGUGGAGAGUCUUUCCCUUGGAUAAGAAUUUUUUCCUCCCGAAGCAAGAAGAAGACAAGAAGUAUUAAUGCCUAGGAACAAGUAUCAAUACCUUAGGGCAAGUUUCUAUGUAUUGGAUUAUAAAGCUAUUUAUGUUUUUUCCUUUUAUUUUUUCUAUGUACAAUCCUUCAGGAUUAUAAGGGAUGGUUGAGAUCAUUUUGAUGCUUUCAA